GCCGCGUUCGUCUAGUCUGGUCUAGGACACCAGGUUCUCAUCCUGGAAAUCAUGGGUUCAAAUCCCAUACGCGGUA
rnacentral:tRNA from 1 species